rnacentral:rRNA from 1 species
UACGUAGGCAGCAAGCGUUGUUCGGAGUUACUGGGCGUAAAGGGUGCGUAGGCGGCUUUUUAAGUUUGGUGUGAAAUCUCCCGGCUCAACUGGGAGGGUGCGCCGAAUACUGAGAGGCUAGAGUGUGGGAGAGGAAAGUGGAAUUCCUGGUGUAGCGGUGAAAUGCGUAGAUAUCAGGAGGAACACCGGUGGUGUAAACGGCUUUCUGAACCAUAACUGACGCUGAGGCACGAAAGCGUGGGUAGCAAACAGG